GUUAACAACUGCAACACAAUGCACUAAGAUCAGUCAUAAGUAACCAUAGUUUCAACUACUUUGUGUAGUGUUUCAUCUCUAAAGGUGAUAUUAAUUGUUAGUUUAAAUGUAGCUGUGUAAGUGUAUCGAAAUACAUAUAUAUUUAUAGAAAUAAGUUUUGUGGAUGAAUAGAUGCCGUUACACAUGCAGUUGCCUCAGUUGGUGCAAGUUUAAUCAACAUACAGUCAAGCUUUAGUUAUUCAGAAUGAAGAUGGAAGAAUCUAUUACAGGCGAAGCUGUGCAUACCCAGCUGCGAUGGAAACAGAAGUUAAAUCAUUACAACAAAGAAAAGAGUGGCUGUAGCUCCUACCUCAAGGCAUAGUGCGGUCUGGAAUUUGUCGGUUGGAGUCAGAGCUGCAUCACACCAGCCUUCCAACACCAUUGAGGAGAGAGCAAAAAGAUGAAGGAAUGGUUUGGGUCUGACAACUUUGUGCUACAGAGCAGCAGCUUCGCACGGAGCAGAAGGUGGUGACCCUUUCUUCAUAAAGGAGAAAUAUCUACAGGCAGAGCCCUGUAAAGGGCCUUCAACUUUUUCAUUCUUUUCUGCCACUUUCUGUAAUAUCUAGCUACCCUGAGGAAAUGUUUCAGAUUUCAUUUCUUUUGGAUUGUUUGUGAAAUGUAGAAAAACAGAUGUGCAAGUUAAGGUAGACUGUGGUAUGGGAGUCCUAUCUCUUGUUCAGCUGUGGUCCAGUCUCAUGGGAAGUGGGAUUUAUCAGUAAAUGCUACUAAACUGUACUAUAUAUGUGUGGCUUUAUUAAGUGAUGUUUGGCUGCCCAAAGCACUUGGGUGAAUGUAUCUCUGUCUGUGAAUACUUUUUUUUUUUUUUUUCCAUGUGCCCACUUGUGAAAGCUACUGCACUCUAUGCUCUCAGAAUAAUACUUCUUAGUCAGAAAAGAAGUUAAUGAAAGUAAAGUCAUUCUAGAGGACAUUCUCAGAAACACAGUAUAAAAUAGAGGGGAAAUGCCAGGGAAAGCAAAUACAGUUUGUUGUAUUCAGUCAGUUUCAUUUUCAAAUGCCACCAAUUGUUGGCAUUUAGCCAUUUGUUAGAGAAAACAGAUUCCUCGUCUCAAAGUCCUAAUGAUGUAGUAGAGAUUAGAAGGGAAAAUUAUAAUUUAUUUUGUGUAAAGUCCAAAGGCAAAAUGCACUCGAGUUAGAAAAAAAGUUAAUAAUAAUUGUCCUAUUUCAAGCACUGGCAUUCUUCAGCAUGAUGAUGGGGACAUAUUCAGGAAGAGGAGCUAAUGAGCUGCUGUUUUCUAAUCAAAGCAGAAAAAUCUAGUGGCAAAAUGACAGACUUUCCAUUUCAGUGUCAUUUACAAAAUGACAAAAGUAGCCCAUUGCCUACUCAGUGAGGAAAAAAUUACAAAGUGUAUUGCUAAUAAAUAUUUUUGUUGUUUUUCAUAAUGAACCAGGUGUAUGUAUUUAAUUCAGUAUAUGUUAUAUAAAAAGGAUAUAUUUACCAUGUUUCUUACAGAUUGUUGAUUAGUCAAAGAAGACAGGUAUUGAUGCUCUUUUUUUGUCAAUUUUUUUCCAGUUGAGAAGCUUUGUGUUCCAUAUGUAUGUAUAUCUGCGUCUAUCUGUCUUGAUUAAUAACAGAUCCAUAAUUAACAGUAAAAUUUCUGUUUUAUUAAGAAAAUAGACAGAAAGUGUUGAGAAAUACUGAUAUGAUUCCAUAAGGAAAAAACGUGCUGUCAAGAUGGUACGUUUAAAAACUACCCCCCAAAAAAUGCAUUCUGAAGUUUGAGUGGGGAGAAACAAAAAUGAAGAACAAUAUAAUAAACAGAACACCCUAGGAAAGGACUGUUCACCUAGUAAUACAUUGUUGCAGAGAAGGAGCUGACAAGAAAAAUAAAAUAAAAAAAAAUUUGUUCUGAAAAAUUGCUAAGAAAGCUUGACUCCCUAGAUCUACUUUAAAUCUAAGCCAUUCUCCAAUAAGUACUCUGACUUAUCAUUUGUAUGCUCUAUCCCUGCUCUGCAAAGCUCUACAAAGCAGCAGGAGAGCAUAAAAUAUUUUUUUUUAAGUCAUCUGCUCAUAUAUUUCACAAGUAAAUUGUCAGGUAAACGAGACUGAUGAGUAAAACAAACAGGAAAUCCUGGGAAAAAGCAUCUCUUAAGGCAUUUUGAAUAUUUAACUAGCCAGAAUUCCUUUCACUUACUAAUAUUUUAUAAAGAAAACAGUAACUUUGUGCUUUAAUUUUUCUGAGAUUCAUACCCAAACUUAGCAAUAGAAAUAAUGUCUACCAUAAAUCAUGCUGUGGUAGCAUUCGCAGGAGGAGAAACAGCCCUUGAACAGUUGACAUUAUAUAUACAUUGACAUGUAUAUUUCAAAUAAUAAUAGCAACACUAUCUUUAAACUGGAAUAGACUCAAAAUUAUGUUGAGGAUAUUUUUCUUCAUGUGUGUACAAAUAUCAGUUUUCCUUCUGUGAGAGAGUCAAAAGAAAGGGUAGUUCAUGAGUAUACAUGCACCUUCGGUACCAGGUCAGUUCCAUGUUGAACUUUUAAUCUAUUGCUUAGUUUCAUUCAGAUUAGUCAGAGCAAAUACUGAUUUAUGACAUAUUGCAAUGCGUAUGUUAAAGGAAGCAGCCUUAAGUGACUGAACAAAUUACAUCUGUAGUAAGGAAAUGCUUCAAUAGGAAUUCUUCCUUUAGUUGGAUACGUUAACACUAGAAAACAAAUCCAUAAGAAUUUUCAGAUGUAUCUAUUGUUUUUUUCCUUUACCAGUGGUAAGAACUGUUCAAACAAGUUAUGUGGAAUUAGUGAGAGAACCUGCAAUUUGAUUUUGGCUCAUGCAUUGCUCCAGUAAAUGUUAAAUUUAACUGGGAGGGUGGGGUGUCUCCUUGCUGCUUGGCUUGAUUCAGCUGAAGUCUUAGGACUUAGCAAUGAGGUAGUUUAGAUGCAGAAGGAGAUUUUGUAACUCAUUCCAGGACAAGAUUUCAUAACUUAGAAGAGCUCUCAGAGUUUUGUUCAUCACACUUGUUCAGAGUUUCAUCACGUGCUCAGAGAUUGGCAGCUGAAAGAUUUGAGGUUUUGAGGGGAACAGUUUAUGAUAUAUUUCAAGUCAUUUGCUAUUU